UUUUUGAUUAUAAUUUAAAGUCUGGUCUGCCCACUGAUUAAUUUAUUGAAGGGCUGCAGUAUUUUGACUGUACAAAGGUAGCAUAAUCAUUAGUCUCUUAAUUGGUGACUUGUAUGAAAGAUUUGAUGAAAUAUAAACUGUCUCUUUUUAAUUUGUAAAACUUAAUUUUUUAGUUAAAAAGCUAAAAUAUAUUUAAAAGACGAGAAGACCCUAUAGAGUUUUAUAAUUAAUAAAAUUAUUAUUUUAUAUAAAUAAUUUAAUAAAAAUUUAAUUAAUUAUUUUAUUGGGGUGAUAGAAAAAUUGAAUUAACUUUUUUUAAAAAUUAAACAUGGAUAAAUGAAAAUAUGAUCCGAUUAUAUCGAUUAAAAGAAUAAAUUACCUUAGGGAUAACAGCGUAAUUUUUUUUUUUAGUUCGAAUAAAAAAAAAAGUUUGCGACCUCGAUGUUGGAUUAAGAUAAAAUUUAAAUGCAAAAGUUUAAAAUUUUGAUCUGUUCGAUCAUUAAAAUCUUACAUG
rnacentral:rRNA from 1 species